CCUGUCCCUAGAGGUGGUGCAGGUGUGGCUGCUGGGUCAUGUGUGCAUCAGUAGGUGACAGAGAGGAGAGAUGCUAUGUUUAAGCUCAGUGUUCUGACCUGUGAACAUCUAAAUGAUUAGUAGCCUGAUAUU